CGGGUGGUAAUGCCGGAUGUUCCACAUGAUCGCAUGUGAUUGUGGGAAAGAUUCUAUCGGCGUGGGAUGGGGUCGCGUCCUAUCAGCUUGUUGGUGAGGUAACGGCUCACCAAGGCUUCGACGGGUAGCCGGCCUGAGAGGGCGACCGGCCACAUUGGGACUGAGAUACGGCCCAGACUCCUACGGGAGGCAGCAGUGGGGAAUAUUGCACAAUGGGCGCAAGCCUGAUGCAGCGACGCCGCGUGAGGGAUGGAGGCCUUCGGGUUGUAAACCUCUUUUGUUUGGGAGCAAGCCUUCGGGUGAGUGUACCUUUCGAAUAAGCGCCGGCUAACUACGUGCCAGCAGCCGCGGUAAUACGUAGGGCGCAAGCGUUAUCCGGAUUUAUUGGGCGUAAAGGGCUCGUAGGCGGCUCGUCGCGUCCGGUGUGAAAGUCCAUCGCUUAACGGUGGAUCUGCGCCGGGUACGGGCGGGCUGGAGUGCGGUAGGGGAGACUGGAAUUCCCGGUGUAACGGUGGAAUGUGUAGAUAUCGGAAAAAAAA
rnacentral:rRNA from 1 species